UUUGAUCCUGGCUCAGAAUCAACGCUGGCGGCGAGCCUAACACAUGCAAGUCGAACGCGAAAGUCCCGCAAGGGAUGAGUAGAGUGGCAAACGGGUGAGUAACACGUGGGUGACCUGCCUUCGAGCGGGGGAUAACGUCCCGAAAGGGACGCUAAUACCGCAUAACAUCCUGCCUUUGAAGAGGCGGUGAUCAAAGCUGGGGAUCGCAAGACCUAGCACUCGAAGAGGGGCCCGCGUCCGAUUAGCUAGUUGGUGAGGUAACGGCUCACCAAGGCAACGAUCGGUAGCCGGCCUGAGAGGGCGGACGGCCACACUGGGACUGAGACACGGCCCAGACUCCUACGGGAGGCAGCAGUGGGGAAUUGUUCGCAAUGGGCGCAAGCCUGACGACGCAACGCCGCGUGGAGGAUGAAGAUCUUCGGGUCGUAAACUCCUUUCGAUCGAGACGAAUUCCUCCGGGGUGAACAAUCCCGGAGGUUGACGGUACCGAGAGAAGAAGCCCCGGCUAACUCCGUGCCAGCAGCCGCGGUAAUACGGGGGGGGCAAGCGUUGUUCGGAAUUACUGGGCGUAAAGGGCUCGUAGGUGGCCAACUAAGUCGGACGUGAAAUCCCUCGGCUUAACCGGGGAACUGCGUCCGAUACUGGUUGGCUUGAGUUUGGGAGAGGGAUGCGGAAUUCCAGGUGUAGCGGUGAAAUGCGUAGAUAUCUGGAGGAACACCGGUGGCGAAGGCGGCAUCCUGGACCAACACUGACGCUGAGGAGCGAAAGCCAGGGGAGCAAACGGGAUUAGAUACCCCGGUAGUCCUGGCCCUAAACGAUGAAUGCUUGGUGUGGCGGGUAUCGAUCCCUGCCGUGCCGAAGCUAACGCAUUAAGCAUUCCGCCUGGGGAGUACGGUCGCAAGGCUGAAA
rnacentral:rRNA from 1 species